UACGUAGGGUGCGAGCGUUGUCCGGAAUUAUUGGGCGUAAAGAGCUCGUAGGCGGCCUGUCGCGUCGGAUGUGAAAGCCCGGGGCUUAACCCCGGGUCUGCAUUCGAUACGGGCAGGCUAGAGUGUGGUAGGGGAGAUCGAAUUCCUGGUGUAGCGGUGAAAUGCGCAGAUAUCAGGAGGAACACCGGUGGCGAAGGCGGAUCUCUGGGCCAUUACUGACGCUGAGGAGCGAAAGCGUGGGAGCGAACAGG
rnacentral:rRNA from 1 species